AUUUUAUUCAAAUGCUAAUUAAUAUAUAAUUAUGAUUAACGAAAAUCCUAAAUUAAUGCUGCAAAUCACCCCGAAGACCUCUGUACUGCAUGCUGUUGUCAAUAUCUGCAGUAGCAGAGGUCUUCGGGGUGAUUUGCAGCAUUUAUUU